AGCGCAGGCGGGAGCGCAAGUUGGAUGUGAAAUACCGCAGCUUAACUGCGGAGCUGCAUCCAAAACUGUGUUUCUUGAGUGAAGUAGAGGUAGGCGGAAUUCCGAGUGUAGCGGUGAAAUGCGUAGAUAUUCGGAGGAACACCGGUGGCGAAGGCGGCCUACUGGGCUUUUACUGACGCUGAGGCUCGAAAGUGUGGGAGCAAACA
rnacentral:rRNA from 1 species